GCACUUCCCUGGCAGGGGAGGCUUCAUGAUCAAGAAGGUGGUUUUCACAGGGUGAAGCUUGUCUGUUACACUCCAGAUGUGUUCACCUCUGUGAUCUCCCCAGAUGCAGGAAGUUCCACUGCAUAACUUGUGGUGGUGGGGACUCUGUUUGUGCUCUCCUUU